rnacentral:Y_RNA from 1 species
AUGACGAAUGCAGGCGAAACUACAUCAUGUCGCGGGUUCGAUCCCCGUCGGGCCUCCUCUUCGGCCCGUAGCUCAGUGGUAGAGCAGAAGCGUUUCGCCGACCCUUGUCGUCAUGGC